UAUUAAAAAUUUCAUGCAUUUCUACUGUUGAAAACUAGUGUGACUUAUGGAAUAACCAAACAAUUACAUAUGACGUGCCACGUGUACCUCAUGCCGAGGUACAAGGACUAGUUUAUAACAAUAGAAAUGGAUGAAAUUUUUAACA
rfam:Gossypium hirsutum cultivar TM-1 chromosome 19, whole genome shotgun sequence